UGACCUCGGAUCAGGUAGUACCCGCUGAACUUAAGCAUAUCAAUAAGCGGAGGAAAAGAAACCAACAGGGAUUGCCCUAGUAACGGCGAGUGAAGCGGCAACAGCUCAAAUUUGAAAUCUGGCUCUCGGGCCCGAGUUGUAAUUUGUAGAGGAUACUUUUGAUGCGGUGCCUUCCGAGUUCCCUGGAACGGGACGCCAUAGAGGGUGAGAGCCCCGUCUGGUUGGAUGCCAAAUCUCUGUAAAGUUCCUUCAACGAGUCGAGUAGUUUGGGAAUGCUGCUCUAAAUGGGAGGUAUAUGUCUUCUAAAGCUAAAUACCGGCCAGAGACCGAUAGCGCACAAGUAGAGUGAUCGAAAGAUGAAAAGCACUUUGAAAGAGAGUUAAAAAGUACGUGAAAUUGUUGAAAGGGAAGCGUUUAUGACCAGACUUGGGCUUGGUUAAUCAUCUGGGGUUCUCCCCAGUGCACUU
rnacentral:rRNA from 1 species